rnacentral:rRNA from 1 species
GACGAACGCUGGCGGCGUGCUUAACACAUGCAAGUCGAACGGAAAGGCCCUGCUUUUGUGGGGUGCUCGAGUGGCGAACGGGUGAGUAACACGCGAGUAACCUGCCCUUGUCAUUGGGAUAACUUCAGGAAAAUGGGGCUCAUACCGGAUAGGAGCUCCUGCUGCAUGGUGGGGGUUGGAAAGUGUCGGCGGUUGGGGAUGGACUCGCGGCUUAUCAGCUUGUUGGUGUGGUAGUGGCUUACCAAGGCUUUGACGGGUAGCCGGCCUGAGAGGGUGACCGGCCACAUUAGGACUGAGAUACGGCCCAGACUCCUACGGGAGGCAGCAGUGGGGAAUAUUGCACAAUGGGCGGGAGCCUGAUGCAGCAACGCCGCGUGCGGGAUGACGGCCUUCGGGUUGUAAACCGCUUUCGCCUGUGACGAAGCGUGAGUGACGGUAAUGGGUAAAGAAGCACCGGCUAACUACGUG